rnacentral:sRNA from 1 species
GAGAUUGUAUAGUAAAGAUGAUGAACCAGCUGUAAAACUACAACUACUACCACAUAAACAUGAUAUCAUCACACUUCUUGGUGUUGGAGGCCACUGGGUAACAACAGAAGAAAACCUUCAGUUGGAUCCUCCAGAUAGCCACUGCCUUUUCCUCAAGGGAGCAACGUUAGCUUUCCUGAAUGAUGAAGUUUGGAAUUUGUCAAAUGUACAACAGGGAAAAUAUCUUUCUUAACAAUCCUUCCAGCUACGUAUCUUAAAGGAUGUGAUGGAGAAGUUAUCAACUGGUGUUUUCAGACCUCAGUUGGAUGAACCCAUUCCACUGUAUGAGGCAAAAGUUUCCAUGGAAGCUGUUCAGAAAAAUCAAGGAAGAAAAAAGCAAGUUGUUCAAUUUUAAUUUUCUUCUUUCUCAGACCUCAUUCGGAUGAACAUAUUCCAGUAUUUGAAGCCAGAAUUUUCUUUGGAAAUUGUUGAGAAAAACCAAGGAAGAUAAAACAAGUUGCAUUUUUAAGCACGUUUCCCUGCUAAGACAAGAUGCUCAGUUGACACAUUUGAAAAGUGUUUGAAAAAUUCUUGUGCAAAUGAUCAAGAUAAUUCUAUAAUUAACAUCUUAAGGGAAUUUUCUAAAAACCUUUUCAUUGUUUCUAUAUAUUUUGCC